UACGUAGGGUGCAAGCGUUGUCCGGAAUUAUUGGGCGUAAAGAGCUCGUAGGCGGUCUGUUGCGUCGGCUGUGAAAACCCGGGGCUCAACUCCGGGCCUGCAGCCGAUACGGGCAGACUAGAGUUCGGCAGGGGAGACUGGAAUUCCUGGUGUAGCGGUGAAAUGCGCAGAUAUCAGGAGGAACACCGGUGGCGAAGGCGGGUCUCUGGGACGUGACUGACGCUGAGACGCGAAAGCGUGGGGAGCAAACAGG
rnacentral:rRNA from 1 species